rnacentral:tRNA from 1 species
UGGUGGUUAGUUUAAUAAAAAUAAAUGAUUUCGACUCAUUAGAUUAUGCUAAUUACAUAACUACCAA